rnacentral:rRNA from 1 species
UACGUAGGGUGCGAGCGUUGUCCGGUAUUAUUGGGCGUAAAGAGCUCGUAGGCGGUCUGUCGCGUCGGUCGUGAAAACCUGCAGCUUAACUGUGGGCGUGCGGUCGAUACGGGCAUGACUGGAGUUCGGCAGGGGAGACUGGAAUUCCUGGUGUAGCGGUGAAAUGCGCAGAUAUCAGGAGGAACACCGGUGGCGAAGGCGGGUCUCUGGGCCGAUACUGACGCUGAGGAGCGAAAGCGUGGGGAGCGAACAGG